rnacentral:rRNA from 1 species
UACGAAGGGGGCUAGCGUUGCUCGGAAUUACUGGGCGUAAAGCGCACGUAGGCGGACUCUUAAGUCAGGGGUGAAAUCCUGGAGCUCAACUCCAGAACUGCCUUUGAUACUGGGAGUCUCGAGUUCGGGAGAGGUGAGUGGAACUGCGAGUGUAGAGGUGAAAUUCGUAGAUAUUCGCAAGAACACCAGUGGCGAAGGCGGCUCACUGGCCCGAUACUGACGCUGAGGUGCGAAAGCGUGGGGAGCAAACAGGG